AAUGUCUCUUUAUUUCAGGUGAGUGACGGAGGAGGCAUGCAGGUGGGAGGUGAAUGGAUGCUGCACAGGUGUGUGUUGCUGUGUGUUGCGUCUAACUGGUGUGUGCCGGAUACCUGUGUGUUUACCUGUUGAUGUGUGGUUUGCCCUUCCCUACCUGACGCGCCACCAGAGGGCCGUGGACGAGGCACAGAACCGACCCAUUAAAGUGAGGGAAUGCUGACCAGCCUCCCGUCGUGUCCCCACAACCACCACCACAACCACCGUCGCCGCCGUCGCUGUUGCUGCUGCUGAUGUACUUCCAAGGACUCGCUAGCUCGCAGAAGGCAGUAUCUCCUCCACCUCCACCAAACGUCCCUUCUUCCACCUCCUCCUCACUAAGCUCUUAGCACUUUUGAACACGAGGAAGACCACAAGAACAGCAACGGCAAGAAGACCGAUUAGAGUGUCCGUGAAAAAAAACAUAAGGCAGACUCUCAUAAAUAGACGUGAUGUGGAAUGUCUAGGAAGUGUUCCGCCGCCUCUUUGAACUGAAGGAAGGAGACUCAAGUGCUGAAAGGGUAUACACAAGCCAGGAGUGUGUUUGGUGGCCUGUGUUUGCGGAAGGGAGACCAACACACAAGCAAGCAAGCGUCUGUGAGUGGCUGGCUGGCUACACACACACACACACACACACACACACACACACACACGCAAACACACAUACACAGACACACACAAACACUGGCUCUUAUCUGUUAUUCUCCCCCUUACUCCCUGCCGCCCUCUAUCUCUGCCUCCUCUGUCUCGGUGAAGCGAUACGGAGGGCGACCUGACAGACACACGACAAUACCCCGAGACACACACACACACACACACACACACCUCAAGGAUAGUACAGUAUUGUUGUCCUCGUCGUCGUCGCUGCUGCUGUUGUCGUCGUUGUCUUCGU